UACGGGGGGAGCAAGCGUUGUUCGGAUUUACUGGGCGUAAAGGGCGCGUAGGCGGCCACCGCAAGUCAGUUGUGAAAUCUCUGGGCUUAACCCAGAACGGUCAGCUGAUACUGCGGGGCUAGAGUGCAGAAGGGGCAACUGGAAUUCUCGGUGUAGCGGUGAAAUGCGUAGAUAUCGAGAGGAACACCUGCGGCGAAGGCGGG
rnacentral:rRNA from 1 species